rnacentral:rRNA from 1 species
UACGUAGGGGGCAAGCGUUGUCCGGAAUCAUUGGGCGUAAAGCGCGUGUAGGCGGCUUGAUAAGUCUGCUCUGAAAGCCCGGGGCUCAACCCCGGGAGGCGGGUGGAUACUGCUGAGCUUGAGUCCGGAAGAGGCGAGUGGAAUUCCCGGUGUAGCGGUGAAAUGCGCAGAUAUCGGGAGGAACACCAAUGGCGAAGGCAGCUCGCUGGGACGUGACUGACGCUGAGACGCGAAAGCGUGGGGAGCAAACAGG